AAAGGAAUUUUUGGGAUCCAGACCACUUACAAAAAAAAGAAAGCAAACUGACCUGGAAGAUGAUGCCAAUGAGGAAUGUUCAAACACUUCUGAGGGACUCCUUGAGAAGUACAGCAAGGUAGUUGAUGAGCUUCAAAUGAUGAAGGACAAAUGUUCCAAACUGGAAACGGAAAACUCAGAAUUGAGGCGUCAACUGACAGAGCAUUGCUCGAAGUCCAAGGAAAAUUCAUCAAAGGAGAAAGA